ensembl:processed_transcript 5430405H02Rik RIKEN cDNA 5430405H02 gene
GCGGCCCGGAGGCGAUCUGUGCGCGAGGAGGCGCUGUGAAGACUGAGGCACAGCCCCUCCGAGGAAAGCCGAGAUUGUACGUUUCCUUGCCGGCUGAGCCGCGGCUCGUCCCCCGGAGCGACACAAAGAAGAAGUGGCCUUGCAUCCUGCUCCGCCUCCCGAGCCGGGUCCUUGGUCCCCGGAAGCCCUGGGCUGCCCCACUGGAGUUACCUUCUGUGCGUUCUCUCCUAAACCUACACGUUAUUCACGACUUUGUUCAUGACUAUGGAAAACAAAACAAAAACAAAAACCAAACCAAAGUUCCCUCGCCUGGCGAUGGUGCAAGCCUGUCUACCUGCUGGAGGAUGGUUGGAAUGUGCACACCUGGCUCAACCAAAAGAGGCACAGCUUAGGGGCGGCUUGGACCCAGCUCAAGUCUGGACUUGGCAGCUUUCCUGAGCCUGCCUAGGAAAGCAGGCUGGAGUGCAGGUGUCCCAGGGCUCUCUGGAGGAGCAGCAGCAACACCAUGCCUGGCUCUGGUGCCUUGGUCUCCUCGGAGAGGACGCUUGAAGGAAUGGCACUCAGCAGAGUACAGGCCCCGUAACAGUGCAGCGCAGCGACAUCCGCUGAGGACUGGACAGAAUGGUCCUGAUGCUUGGCAGUGAUCCGUACUUGGAUAACACUCUGCAUGAAAGGGCAGUGAGCCAGGAACCUCAAGCCACCCGGGAGCAGGUGCCUACUUGGCGUUUUCUGAGACGAAAGGCAGCGGAGUGUGUAGCAAAGGUGGCGCUGGCUCUUGCUGCUUCUGAAGCUCCAUCUCGGCAGCCCUCUGCAGCGCCACCUCCACCAGCAACUGGAAGCUGCUGAAGUCAUCCUUGUCCUGCUCUGGGGGUGUGGGUGGUGGCGUAUUGAAGAGUCCACCCGUGGGGCUUCCAGCCUCUGCCCUAGUCAGCAGGGGUCACUGUAAAGCUCUGGCUGUUCUGGAACUCACUAUGUAGACCAAGGUGGCCUCAAAUGCUUCUUCUCCCUGAUUCCCAGGAUUAAAGCCACCAUGCUUGGGCUGGAGAGAUGGCUCACUGAUGUAAGAGCACUGAUUGCUCUUCCAGAGGUCCUGAGUUCAAAUCCCAGCAACCACGUGGUGGCUCACAACCAUCUAUAAAAAGGAUCUGAUGCCCUCUUCUGGUGUCUGAAGACAGCUACAGUGUACUCAUAUAAAU